rnacentral:lncRNA from 14 species
GGUAUUCUUUGUAAAAGCACUCCAUCUGGCCACCCAUCUCUCCUCCUUCAGCCUGGGUCAGUCCACCCCACUUUCCCUGAGCAGUGAACAGAUGGACCAGAGCUGUAAUCCUGCCUGUUUCCUCUGCCUAGCGUGCGGUCAUCAUUACCCACUAUCCAUGGGCGUGUUUGGUGUUUCUGAUCAACGUGAGACAGAUAUUUUCUGUUCAUUUCCCGCAGACCUCACUGUACAGACGGUGCCACAUAUAAAAAGAUGACCCUUUCAUUUGGGACCAGAAGUUCAAAGACACAGAUUAGAAUCCUCCCGAUGGCUGGUCGAGAUCCUGAAUGGCCAUGCCCAGAUUUGAUCAAGAUACAGAAGAAAGAACUGAGGGUAUCUACUCCCCGAAAAGUCCGUCUGCAGAGGAAGAACCAGAGGCAGAAGAACCAGCAGCGUACAGAUCCAGUUUCCACCAUCCAGAAGCCUAAGCAUGAUGUCGAAGAGGAGGAGGUGGUGGUGGUGGGAGAGGGAGAAGACGGGCGAAGCCAGGCCUCCAGCCUGGUUGCCACUAAGAGCCGUCAGCAGGGUGCAGCCAACGGUAAGUCAGCACAGCUGCCUCACCUCAUUGUAGGCAGGGCCUAGUUUCUCUCCGGAGCAGUCUUCAUCUUGCUAGUAUUAUUUCUUUACGACAGUAGAACACACACCCUCUUUUACAUUUUUGCUUUGGCUAGGGCCACUCACCACAGAAAAAGUUGAGAACAAGACCUCUCUAGAAAACAUAAAACCUGUUCAACAUGUGGUAUGUACUGUGGAAGGAAAUGUAUGUAUUAGCACAACUAAGAACUCAGUAUUUAAACCUUAUCAUUUUUUUUUCUUUUCUAUUUUUCGGAGCUGGGGACCGAACCCAGGGCCUUGCGCUUGCUAGGCAAAUGCUCUACCACUGAGCUAAAUCCCCAACCCCUAACCUUAUCAUUUUUAAAGCUGUUAUGAACAACCGGACAUGGUAACACUGUGGAGGCUGAGGCAGGAGGAUUUUGUGUUUGAGGCCAGCCUGGGCUGCUACUUAACAAGUUCUAGGCAAGCCAGGGUGAACUGUCUCAAAAACAAAAUAAAGCAGAAUCAUAAAACCAAAUAAAAACCCACAAAUGAAACCCACACAGCAAUGUGUGUCUCAGGCUCCUGGACACUUAAUAGCUCAACUGGAGAAUGUCUCAAGCUGUCUUCAGUUCACGUGAAAGACUUAAAUAAAAAAGGAGAGGAUUGGAGAGAUGGCUCAGUGGUUAGGAGCACUGGCUGCUCUUCCAGAGGUCCUAAGUUCAAUUCCCAACAACCACAUGGUGGCUCACAACCAUCUGCAAUGGGAUCUGAUGCCCUCUUCUGGUGCGUCUGAAAGACAGUGUACUUAUAUACAUAAAAUAAGUAAAUAAAAGUUAAAAAAAAAAAGAGACCCCUUCCCCCAAACAGAAUGCUAAUACCUUACUUCUUAAGGAAAAGCACAGUGGGGAGUGUAAGAAUCAGGGGUAAGUCUUCAUCUGUGAAGGCUGUUCCGGAAAAGCCAGCACGGAGAGUCUGGUGGAACAUGCUGGGAGGAAUGAGGCAGGUUGACGAGGACUGCAGGGGGCAGCAGUGUACUGGGCUCACACCAGCAGAGACUUGGUCAAGGGAGGCAGCAAGAGUCCUUGUAACCUGGGUGAGAUGGCAGGAGCUCAAGGAAGGAGACACCAACAGUAGGGAACCAAUCCUGAUGGCGUUAUCACAUCCUGACUGUGACAGCACCACAACCAUUCUAAUGGUUGCUUGCGGUCCUCUGUAGUGUGCUGGGAAAUCGUAGGGAAGGCAGAUAAAGGUUACUCAGGGGCAAUCACGGAAGUUGCAACUCAAGGCGGCUGGGCUGCAGUGGGUAAAGGUGGGUCCCUUCGAAGGUCAACCCCAUUCCUAAACUCCCUUUGUUUUCAGAGAAACAAGCCCCAUCUUCUUCAGAUUGCAAUCACGAGGGACUGGAAGAACAUGAAGCCAGAGGGUUACUCAAAGCAAAGAGACUCGGGAGUGACCAAGGUAGGUGAGCCAUGUUUAGUCAAUUCCAGGGUGACCUUGUGUCUGUGAGCCAGCUCACAGAUCAGGAGCACAGUUCACGGACACCCAGUGUCAGCCUGGCAGGGGUGGCUCCUGGGAGGCCACACAGACCCUGAAGAAUGAACAGAAGCUUUGCGAAGGUGGUCAGGGUGGUUUUCCAGCUACACAGGGAGUGCAGGCGGGACCCAGAGCCUAAGCCAUCAAGGUCUGUCUGGAGAAUGGCAGGCACGCAGUGUGGGUAGCCAGGUGCCUGACGCUGGGACAGAACAGCAAGCGAAGGCCACUUCAGUUGGUGCUGUUUCCCACUCAUUCCUGGCUUCUCUUUCUCUUGUAAGAUCACAGAGCAAAGACAUUUUAAAUCAUAAUUAUGCAAGCAUUCCUAUGUUAUGGCUCCUGAGAAGUCAUUGUUUCCCAGCAUUUAACAUGCCUUAUGCUCCAGAGUAGGGAUAAGCCUUGCAGUUGCAUUCAUGUUUAAAUAGUGUUCACUUGUCAAUUCAUUUUAUGUGUAUACAUAUGUAAAAAAUUUAAAACAUACAUAAGUAUUCUGAAAAUUCAGUCUCUUCAGAUUCUUUUUUUAAUUUAUGAGUGGUU